AACCCCCCUCUAAGAAUUCCGCCCAAAAUCCAAACAAAACCCUUAUUCAUUUCCACUGUUCAACCUUUUUAGAUAUGUAAUAUGUUCUUCAUUUUCUCUCUCUUCCUCUUACCCUUGCCCCUCCUCACUACAACUUUACCCAGAUUUUCCCUAAAAAACCCUUAACUCACACCUUUUAAACAUCACCCAUGAUACCAUUUUCCCUAAUUACUUGUUCUUUAUAAAUUGAAAUGGUCGCCAUUUUACCAAUUUGUAUCCGUACGCCCGUAAUCGCAUUUCGUUGUUAAAAAUUUUGGUCGGAGCAAAAGGACACAAUUCAAAAGAGUUUUCCGAACUCUCAAUCAGGAAACAUCAUGCUGAUGAAGAUCUGAAAGUGUUUCAUACAGAUAAAAAGAAAAAGGUUUAAGAAGACUGGAUUGGACAAGGAGGAAUCAUAUUUGUUGGUGGCGAAUCUCACAUGUGUAAUUAGUUAGCUUUUUUGAUACAUAUUUUUUCAACUGCGCUCAAGUUCUCAACUAAUAUUGAAUGUGAUAUGCUAUUCUCUUUUAAACUACUUAUAUAAGUACUACCAAAGUACUUCAUUUGUAAAUUGCUGAACGAUGGAAUUAUUUGAAUGUAUGUAAAUAUUUUUGGAGCUUUUUAAUGAAACUGAAUGUUCAUAUUCA